rnacentral:lncRNA from 1 species
AACGAUUUAUUCAUUAGUUAUUGAGGUUUAAAUCUAUUAUAGGAAUUAAUAGGAUUUGAUUUAGGAUUUGGUUAGGAUUUGGUUUAGGGUUUAGGAUUUGGUUUAGGAGUUAGUUAGGAUUUAUUUAGGAUUUGGAUUAGAUUUUGGUUUAGGGUUUAGAAUUUGGUUUAAGAUUUAUUUAGCAUUUUAAUUAGGAUUUAGAGUUUGAAUUAGGAUUUUAUUUAGGAUUUAGAAUUUGGUUUAGGAUUUAGGGUUUGGAUUAGGAUUUGGUUUAGGAUUUAGAAUUUGGAUUAGGAUUUGGUUAGGAUUUGAUUUAGGAUUUAGGAUUUGAUUAGGAUUUGGUUUAAGAUUUGAUUGGAGUGUGGAUUAAGAUUUGUUUAGGAUUUGAUUUAGGAUUUAGGAUUUUACUAGGAUUUAAGAUUUAAUUAGUUUCAGCCUAAAGUUUGAAUGAAGUUCAAUAGGAUUUUAACUAGAAUUAAAUUGAGAUUGAAUUGAGAUGUAUUUGAGUGAUAUUUGUGAUCCUUCUAAUAUUUCUUUAAGAAUUCUUAUUGUUUGUUUGAAAUUUCUUUAAGAUUUUUUUGAAUUUGAUUAAGCUUGCUUAGUAUUAUUAUGGUUUAAUUAGAGCAUUGUUAGUAUUAUAUUAGAAUUAAGAUUUUGUUAUUGCAAUUUCCAUUCUUCCUUCCACAGCCAAGGGUCCGGAGCAUUCUCAAGUAAGACUUCACGUAUUACAACAUAUUUGGUGAACCCGACGUGAAACGCGUGAAGUGGAAGGAAUUUGGUUUAUUUUUUGGAUUAUUUGAAUUUUGGAGAAAGAAUUGAAGGAAAAUGGAAGGAGAAAUUUUUGAUGGUGCUUCAAGUGGAGUUAGAAGAGGAGCUUCGAUUGGAGGACAAGGUAUGCAUUUUGAUCCUAACUCUGCAAGCAUACUUAAAGCUUUGGCAUUAUUCAUGCAACAACAAUAGCAACAUGUUAAAGACUGCAAAGAAAAUAUGACUAACAAAGCAUUACAAGCGGUUGUGGACAAGAUCGAUCAAUUCGAAAGAAAGGAUAUUAAAAAAUAUUUAAGAUGUUAUAUAAAGGAAAUGGAAUUGAAGCGUAUUUAAAAAAAAAGAGAUGGUUCAAUUAUUUGAAAUAGCCUGUGCUCGAGAGAUAAAAAAUCGAGAAAAGUCUCUUAUACAACAUUUUGGAAGUUCAUGGGAGAAAUUUUCUCAAGCAUUGAAGAAUGAAUUUUUCUUAGAAGAUAGUGAUAGGCUUACAAGGUCUUUUUUUGAAUGGAUUGAAAGGCUAAAGAAGGGCCUUCUAGCAACAGAAUUAUUAAGGGAGUUUGAAAAGUAAUAUUCUUCUUUAUCAAAGAAAGAAAGAUAAUUAUUGGAUCCAAGUAAGGUGGAGCUCUUUCUUCAAGUAGCCGAUGGAAAGUUGUAAGAGAACUUAGAAAUCAUGCUUGAAGAUAAAGAAGAAGAUUGAUAAUAAAUUAGAAAAGGGUAGAGGAGGCUAUAGGGUUGUUGACAAAAAGAGAAAAGAAGAAAGAUAGGAGGGAGGGGUGAUCAAAGACCAUUACCAACAUCUAAGGUAAAGGUAUCUAGUACCCAUCUGACAUCUUUGAUUCAACCUUCAAUGGCUACAUCAAAGAAAGAAGAAAUAGGCAUUGAUGAAAUCAUACAUGGGAUAAGAGAUUUGCAAAUAAAAUUUGUAAAAUUUGAAGAGAAGGAUCAAUCAUCAAGAAUUUCAACAAAACAAAAAUCAGGUCCAAUGGAAGAUGUAGUACAUAGAUGCAUGUGGUGUGAUAGCAUAGAUCACUCAAGGAGGAAAUGUGAAGAUUUUACAGAGGCAUUACAUAAAGGAGUUAUUUUUUUUAAAGAUGGUAUAAUACACUCAAAAGAAAGUGAAAAAAUUAGAAACAAAUUUUGGUAAAGGAAGAAUGAAGUUCUUUAUUGGAGAUACUUUUAAAGUGCAUACAAUCUCAAGCAAUAAAGAAUCAACAUAUUAAAUGGAAGCAGAUCCUAGUAGAUAUUUAAGUAUAAAUCUUGAAUUUCCAAGAGAAUCUAGUUCUUUGUGGAUAAGUGCAAUGAGUUAUGCUAAAAGGAGAAAUUUUACUAGAGAUGAUUUAAAACCUGUUGGUAAUAACAUUCAAAAAAUUACUAGGUGGGAUGAUCUAGUAGAUAGAUUAUCUAUACAUGCUCAUAUUGUAAGGAGUCAACAUGAAGCAUUAAUAGAAGAAAAAUGAAGGAAAAAUGAAAAUAAUGAAGAGCCUUCAAAAAGAACUACAAGGGGAGAAAAAAUAUGACAAUAAAAGAAUCCUAUUCAUAAAGAGACAAUAGUGAACAUUCUUACAAAAGGAAGGGAAAUUAAAAAAGAAAAAGCAAAGGCUCUUGCUUAUAAUUUACAAUCAGAUAUUGAAGCUGCUAUAGAUUUGAAGAAGGUAUUGGAGGAGCGAAUUUUAAGUAGAAAGGUUGAAUUCACAAUUAGUAAAAUUCUAGGAAUUGUAAAGCAUGAGUUUUAUGAAGUUAUUAUUGAUACAAUAAAGAGAAAACGACAAUCUAUAGGAGACUCUAUGACAUCAAAUGUACAAGGAAUAAGAAUAAUAGAAAGAAAUGAAGAUUAAGAAGAUGAAAUAUAAAAUUUUGAGGAUGUCUUAUGAGUAAGAUUUGCAGAAAAAGAAGAUAUCAUUCAAACUUCUAUCCAUUAUUCUAGAAGUCAUUGUGCAAGGGCUACAAAGGAGACUUUAAUAAAAUUGGAAAAUUUAAAAGAACCAGUUGUAGGAUUAAUUGAUCAUGGUUCUGAAAUCAAUUUGAUGUCAAAAGAAUUGUAUAACAAGGAAAAAUGGCCUAUUGAUAUUGAACAUGAGUGGAUGAUAAGAGCUGCAAACAAUUCAAAAGAAGAUUUGUAUGGAGCAUGUCUAAAUAUCAAGGUGACAAUAGGAGAUGUUAUUCAUGAACAAAAUUUCUUUGUGCAAGACAUGACUACAUAUUCUAUUAUAUUAGGACAACUAUAUAUUAUUUCUACACGAAUGGAAACAAAAGUAAUAGAUGAUGGUUCAGCCUAUGCAAGAAUAAGAAGCCAAGAUGGGAUAAAAGCAGUUCAAUUUUUAAUUGUUUGUGCUAAUCAUGAGAGAAAUCAUGAUAAAUUGAGAGAGAAGCCAUUAUUAAAUGAGAAAUUUGAAGACCUUGAGGAUUUUUACCGCAUACCAUUGUAAGGCAGGGUUGCAAUGAAUUAGAGAAAGAAAAGCUUCUACUUAAUUUAGAAGAAGAAUCAUUAUCUACUGAACUUAUUGAGAUGACACAAGAUUAUGUAUUGACUUUUAAGACUAUUGAUAAGAUGAAAAGGAGGGACAGAUGUUAUAUUAAAAUUAUUGAGCAAAAUUUGAAAGAAAAUGGAGAAUUGGUUGAAAAUGAAUUUAUUUCUGGAGCAUAUGAAGAAGUAGGUUUUAUAGAUACUAUAGAGGAAUUAAAUUAUCUAUUACAAUGUAGGUUACAAGUAGAGAAUAGAGCUAUUAAUGUAUUUUUUAAAGAAUUUUAUGAUGAAAUUUAAAGAUUUACAGAAAAUUUAAGUCACCAAGAGGUAUAUGUUGAAACCAAGUAUAAAUCAAUAGCAAAGAAGGUCAAACCAGUAGGUUUACCACUGCCAUUUGAUUGUGAAGAAAAGUGGAGUAUCGAUACAAUCAAAGUUAAGAGAUCCAAGGAAGAUAUGGCAUAAAUUUACGGAUGUUACAUUAGAUAGAUUAAAUGUUGGAGGCGAUGGAUUUUUGACAAAAUGUGAAGAAAAAUGUUUUAGAGAUAUGCUUUCACGUCAUAGAAAGACUUUUGUAUUUGAGGCACAUGAAAUUGGGUGUGUUGAUCCAAGUAUUGUUGUACAUAUGGUUAUUUUUACUAUUCCUCAUGAACCAUGGAAUUUCAAAAAUUUCAAUGGAAAGAAGAACAAUGGAAAGCUAUGGAAAAAUAGAAAGAACUUCUUUCUUCAUCUCUAACUUUGAAGAAAGUAAAUCAUAAAGAUGGAAGGCCAUUGGUAUUAAGAGUUGAUGCAAGUCCAAUUGGAAUAGGUUGGGCGGUUGGACAAGAUGAUGAAUAAGGGAAUAGAUAUGUAGUAAGAUUUUGAGCAAAGGUAUUGAAUUUCAAGCAAAGGACAAAUGCACAAAUCAAAAGAGACUUAUGGGGUGUAGUAAUAGCUAUGAAAAAUGAAAAAGAGUACUUGAUUGAGGCAUCAGUAGUUAUAGAAAGAGAUUGUCUAUCUUUGUUAGGCAUGAUUAUAAGUUGUUCAAUUCUUGAUAUUGCUAUGUUGAGGUAGAUAGCAUAUAUCAAAUCUAUGAAUCAAGAAUUUAAACAUAUUAUAGGGAAAGAAAAUUUAGUUCUAGAUAUGUUAUCAAGAGCAAGGCAUAUUGAUGAAGAAAAGAUGAUUGAUUUAGAAGAUGAUGUGGGUACAAAAUUUUAUACCAAUGCGUUAACAAAGGAGAACGGUGUAUGUUUUAAUAUAUCAUUGAAAAUAUUUUUAAGAGAUUUAUAUGAAAAUGAAUAGAAAGAUUUUGGAGAGUAUUUGAGUACAUUAAAGUGACAAAAAAGUUGGACGAAUUAAGAAUUUAAGAAAAUCCGUAAGAAAGCCUAUGGAUAUUUUUUACAUGAUGGAUAUUUAUGGAAGUAUCCAAAAAAGAGAGGAGAAGUACCUCAAAGGGUGAUAUGUGGUUUAGAAGCUCAACAAAGGAUUAUUAAAGAAUUUUAUGAAAAUUUAUGGGUAGGGCAUCGAGGUAUUUGAAUAACAUUCACUAAGUUAAGAGAAAAAUAUUGGUGGAAGGGAAUGUACAAAGACAUAGCAAAAUAUGUAGAAUCUUGUGAGACUUGCCAAGUGUAUUCAAAUAUUUGGCAUCGAGAUGGGUUACAUCCAACAUAUCCAUUGGCUUUACAUUACAAUUGAGUGGUGGAUUUAGUGGCAAUGCCUAUAGGACUUGGACAAAUGAAGUAUUUGGUACUUGCAUGAGAAGAUUUAUCAAAUACGGUUGAAGGACGAGCAUUAAGAUCAAAGGAUACUUAAAGAGUAUGCUGAUUUCUAUUAGAAGAAGUUAUUUGUUGCUAUGGUUGUAUUGGAAAAAUUAUGGUGGAUAGGGAUGAAUUGGAUGCAAAGAAAGCACAAGAAUUCUUUAGUAGAAUAGGAAUUAAAAUUUCUUUAACAACAGCAUAUAACCCAGAAGGUAAUGGUAAAAGUGAGCGUAGACAUUCACCUAUUGUUAAGGCAUUAGUAAAGGCAUGCAAUAGCAAAGCACAUGAAUGGCCUAGACUACUACUAUUUAUAUUAUGGGCAGAUCGUACAACUCAUAGUUCGGUAAUAAGUUAUAUGCCUUUUGAAUUAAUAUAUAGACAAAAAUCAGUAAUUCCAAUAGAAGAUGUAGUACCUACAUGGGGUAUAUUGCCUUGGAAGAAUGAUCUCAACAGAGAAGAACUUUUAGAAUUAUGGAUUCAACAACUAGAAAGAAGAUCCAAUGAUAUUGAAAUAGCAAUAGAAAAAUUGAAAGAAGCAAGAAAAAAAAAUAAGGAAAGAUUUGAUAAAAAACAUCGACUACGACUUAAGGCUAUUGAAGAUGGUGAUUGGAUACUAAUUUUUGAUAGUAGCUUAGACAAUCAACAUAGCACUAUAAAGAAGUUUGCAAAGAGAUGGUUUGGACCUUAUAUUGUCAAAAAGACACACAACAAUGGAAUAUAUUCAUUAUAAGAACUUGAUUGUAGAGAAUUGAAGGUACUCAUAGCAGGCAAACGAAUCAAGUUAUUUAAACAAAGAGAUGAGGGCAUUUGUUUUGAUGAAGAACAAACUCCAAUACAAGAUAUUGAGAUUGGAAUAGAAGAGCAUAUUGAAGAUCAAGAAUUGUACUAAGAUGAAGAACAUUCUACAUCACUAUAUUGAAGAAUUGUUGGCGCAUGUCGAAGGAUGUACAGAUUCAAGGGAGAUGGAUGUUAUGAUAUAACACGACUAAUAGGUAAAAGAGUGUAGAGAUUAUUAUAAUUUAAGAGAUCUUAGUUCAAAGUAUUAAAAAAAAUUAUCUUAGAAAUAUAGUUAAUAGUCAAAGGGGUAGAAAAAUUAAAAGGUACCAAUGCUGCCUUUUAGAAAGGUGACUUCUAUUUACUUUGUAGCACCAUAAGUAAGGCAAAUCAAAGUAGAUUGGAAAAAUAAAUAAUAUAGGCAUCUUUAAAAGAAAGUUAAGAGUAAGUUUUAGAAAAAAUUACUUAGAAAAACUAGAUAUUGAUACCCAGAGAAGGCCGGUUAUGAACCAAGAUCAAAAUCAGACCUUGGGGUACAAAACUGAGUCUCAACAACGACUCUAGGGCUCUUUUGGAGAUCAGAGAAAGAGGUUUGAUAGCAGACUGAAUAAGCUUUCUAUAAGCAUUAAUUUUGGAUGAUUUGAAGUUGUUAUGACUUUGUAAUAGCUUUGCAAAGUCAAGGAUUGUUUCGGAUGACUUGGAUUUUAUGAAAUAAAAUAGGGUUUAUAUUUUGGAUGAUUUCAAGAGUUUUGUAGUAGAUCUACGGAUGAAAUUUUUUGGGUUCAAGGUUAUAGUUGUGUUUAAUAUGUGCCGUAAAUUUGAGCUUGAUCUAAUGGUUUAAUUAAGGAAUAUUGAGGUUUAAGUGGGUCAAGGUCUCAGAAAGUAGAAUUCUGGGUUUAGUAAGGGUUUUUAAGAUUUCUUGCAAUAUAAUAGUUGGAUUGGAGUAAAACUUAUAUGAAAGGAUGUUAAUUUUUUUUUUCUAUGUAAAUGAGAAUUUUGAGACCAAUCGAACUGUGCAAAGUAGAAAUAUUGGUUGUGGAAGAUUGGCAUUAAGAUUGGAGAAGGAGGCUAGCCAAUACCCGAGCUCAUUUUUGAAGUUAUCGUCAAUUUAGUAACUCCGAUUCUUUUUUAAUUUUUUUGUGCUUAUUUUCAACUUAUUUUUUAAGAAGUGUGAAAAAUUUGAGUUAAGAUCAAUGAUUUAUUCAUUAGUUAUUGAGGUUUAAAUCUAUUAUAGGUAUUACUAGGAUUUGAUUUAGGAUUUGGUUAGGAUUUGGUUUAGGGUUUAGGAUUUGGUUUAGGAUUUAGGAUUUAGUUUAGAAUUUGGAUUAGGGUUUUAUUUAGGAUUUAGAAUUUGAUUUAGGAUUUAGGAUUUGAUUAGGAUUUAGUUUAGGAUUUGGUUAGGGUUUGAUUUAAGUUUGUUUAGGAUUUGAUUAAGGAUUUAGGAUUUUAUUAGGAUUUAAGAUUUAAUUAGUUUCGGUCUAAAUUUUGAAUGAAGUUCAAUAGGAUUUUAACUAGAAUUAAAUUGAGAUUGAAUUGAGAUGUAUUUGAAUGAUAUUUGUGAUCCUUCUAAUAUUUCUUUAA